GAGAGGGAGCCUGAGAAACGGCUACCACAUCUAAGGAAGGCAGCAGGCGCGUAAAUUACCCAAUCCUGAUUCAGGGAGGUAGUGACAAGAAAUAGCAAACUGGAUGAAUUUUCAUCACAGUAUUGCAAUGAGAACAAUGUAAAUGCUUUAUCGAUUAACAAUUGGAGGGCAAGUCUGGUGCCAGCAGCCGCGGUAAUUCCAGCUCCAAUAGCGUAUAUUAAAGUUGUUGCAGUUAAAAAGCUCGUAGUUGAACUUCUGUACAUUCCCAGUUCUGGCUUCGGUCAAGCUGUGGAGUGUGCAUCCGCUUGCAAACUUAGACCGGCCUUCACUGGUCGACUAAGGGAGUAAGCCCUUUACUUUGAAAAAAUUAGAGUGUUUCAGGCAGGCUUUGGCUCGAAUACAUUAGCAUGGAAUAAUGGAAUAGGACUUUUGUCCAUUUGGUUGGUUAUUGGACAUAAGUAAUGAUUAAAAGGGACAGUUGGGGGCAUUAGUAUUUAAUUGUCAGAGGUGAAAUUCUUGGAUUUAUUAAAGACUAACUUAUGCGAAAGCAUUUGCCAAGGAUGUUUUCAUUAAUCAAGAACGAAAGUUAGGGGAUCAAAGACGAUCAGAUACCGUCA
rnacentral:rRNA from 1 species